rnacentral:rRNA from 1 species
AUUGAACGCUGGCGGCAGGCCUAACACAUGCAAGUCGAACGGUAACAGGAAACAGCUUGCUGUUUCGCUGACGAGUGGCGGACGGGUGAGUAAUGUCUGGGAAACUGCCUGAUGGAGGGGGAUAACUACUGGAAACGGUAGCUAAUACCGCAUAACGUCGCAAGACCAAAGAGGGGGACCUUCGGGCCUCUUGCCAUCGGAUGUGCCCAGAUGGGAUUAGCUAGUAGGUGGGGUAACGGCUCACCUAGGCGACGAUCCCUAGCUGGUCUGAGAGGAUGACCAGCCACACUGGAACUGAGACACGUUCCAGACUCCUACGGGAGGCAGCAGUGGGGAAUAUUGCACAAUGGGCGCAAGCCUGAUGCAGCCAUGCCGCGUGUAUGAAGAAGGCCUUCGGGUUGUAAAGUACUUUCAGCGGGGAGGAAGGGAGUAAAGUUAAUACCUUUGCUCAUUGACGUUACCCGCAGAAGAAGCACCGGCUAACUCCGUG